rnacentral:rRNA from 2 species
AAAUUGAAGAGUUUGAUCAUGGCUCAGAUUGAACGCUGGCGGCAGGCCUAACACAUGCAAGUCGAACGGUAACAGGAAGCAGCUUGCUGCUUCGCUGACGAGUGGCGGACGGGUGAGUAAUGUCUGGGAAACUGCCUGAUGGAGGGGGAUAACUACUGGAAACGGUGGCUAAUACCGCAUAACGUCGCAAGACCAAAGAGGGGGACCUUCGGGCCUCUUGCCAUCAGAUGUGCCCAGAUGGGAUUAGCUUGUUGGUGAGGUAACGGCUCACCAAGGCGACGAUCCCUAGCUGGUCUGAGAGGAUGACCAGCCACACUGGAACUGAGACACGGUCCAGACUCCUACGGGAGGCAGCAGUGGGGAAUAUUGCACAAUGGGCGCAAGCCUGAUGCAGCCAUGCCGCGUGUAUGAAGAAGGCCUUCGGGUUGUAAAGUACUUUCAGCGGGGAGGAAGGUGUUGCGGUUAAUAACCGCAGCAAUUGACGUUACCCGCAGAAGAAGCACCGGCUAACUCCGUGCCAGCAGCCGCGGUAAUACGGAGGGUGCAAGCGUUAAUC